rnacentral:rRNA from 1 species
GUGCCAGCAGCCGCGGUAAUACAGAGGUGGCAAGCGUUGUUCGGAAUUACUGGGCGUAAAGGGCGCGUAGGCGGCCAUCUAAGUCAGACGUGAAAUCCCCCGGCUUAACCUGGGAACUGCGUCUGAUACUGGAAGGCUCGAGUUUGGGAGAGGGAUGUGGAAUUCCAGGUGUAGCGGUGAAAUGCGUAGAUAUCUGGAGGAACACCGGUGGCGAAGGCGGCAUCCUGGACCAACACUGACGCUGAGGCGCGAAAGCUAGGGGAGCAAACGGGAUUAGAUACCCCAGUAGUCC